AUGAACGCUGGCGGCGUGCCUAAUACAUGCCAGUCGAGCGAACGGACGAGAAGCUUGCUUCUCUGAUGUUAGCGGCGGACGGGUGAGUAACACGUGGAUAACCUACCUAUAAGACUGGGAUAACUUCGGGAAACCGAAGCUAAUACCGGAUGAUAUUUUGAACCGCAUGGUUCAAAAGUGAAAGACGGUCUUGCUGUCACUUAUAGAUGGAUCCGCGCUGCAUUAGCUAGUUGGUAAGGUAACGGCUUACCAAGGCAACGAUGCAUAGCCGACCUGAGAGGGUGAUCGGCCACACUGGAACUGAGACACGGUCCAGACUCCUACGGGAGGCAGCAGUAGGGAAUCUUCCGCAAUGGGCGAAAGCCUGACGGAGCAACGCCGCGUGAGUGAUGAAGGUCUUCGGAUCGUAAAACUCUGUUAUUAGGGAAGAACAUAUGUGUAAGUAACUGUGCACAUCUUGACGGUACCUAAUCAGAAAGCCACGGCUAACUACGUG
rnacentral:rRNA from 1 species